rnacentral:rRNA from 1 species
AAACUCAAAGGAAUUGACGGGGGCCCGCACAAGCGGCGGAGCAUGUGGAUUAAUUCGAUGCAACGCGAAGAACCUUACCUGGGUUUGACAUGCACAGGAUCGCCUCAGAGAUGGGGUUUCCCUUGUGGUCUGUGUACAGGUGGUGCAUGGCUGUCGUCAGCUCGUGUCGUGAGAUGUUGGGUUAAGUCCCGUAACGAGCGCAACCCUUGUCCUACGUUGCCAGCGGGUUAUGCCGGGGACUCGUGGGAGACUGCCGGGGUCAACUCGGAGGAAG